rnacentral:rRNA from 1 species
CCCAAGUGAUGGCCGAUCUUAUUGGGCCUAAAGCGUCCGUAGCUGGCCGCGCAAGUCCAUCGGGAAAUCCACCUGCUCAACAGGUGGGCGCCCGGUAGAAACUGCGUGGCUUGGGACCGGAAGGCGCGACGGGUACGUCCGGGGUAGGAGUGAAAUCCCGUAAUCCUGGACGGACCGCCGAUGGCGAAGGCACGUCGCGAGAACGGAUCCGACAGUGAGGGACGAAAGCCAGGGUCUCGAACCGGAUUAGAUACCCGGGUAGUCCUGGCCGUAAACAAUGUCUGCUAGGUGUGGCUCCCACUACGAGUGGGUGCUGUGCCGUAGGGAAGCCGCUAAGCAGACCGCCUGGGAAGUACGUCCGCAAGGAUGAAACUUAAAGGAAUUGGCGGGGGAGCACUACAACCGGAGGAGCCUGCGGUUUAAUUGGACUCAACGCCGGACAUCUCACCAGCAUCGACUGUAAUAAUGACGAUCAGGUUGAUGACCUUAUCCGAGUUUCAGAGAGGAGGUGCAUGGCCGCCGUCAGCUCGUACCGUGAGGCGUCCUGUUAAGUCAGGCAACGAGCGAGACCCGCACUCUUACUUGCCAGCAGUAUCGCGAGAUAGCUGGGGACAGUAGGAGGACCGCCGUGGCUAACACGGAGGAAGGAACGGGCAACGGUAGGUCAGUAUGCCCCGAAUGUGCUGGGCAACACGCGGGCUACAAUGGUCGAGACAAAGGGUUCCAACUCCGAAAGGAGACGGUAAUCUCAGAAACUCGAUCGUAGUUCGGAUUGUGGGCUGCAACUCG